rnacentral:misc_RNA from 1 species
GAUAAAAUCAUUCUGGAGGCAGAUAGCCUUGAGAAAUUGCAGUUAAAAGAUUGUACACUUGAGGUCUUUGAGCUUGUCAGCAAGGGGAAGUUAAGACUCCUUAAGAUUGAUGAUGUUAGCGUCAUCCAUCUUGAUAUUGGUGAUAGCGCUGAGAAUCUUGAGAUUGUGGAUGUCAGCAAUUUCACUAUCAUGUGGUCCAAGUUCCAUCAUAUGAUAGCAAAGUCAUCAAAACUGAGAAGACUGAGGCUAUGGGCAGUUGUGUUUGAUGAUGAUGAUGAGGUUGUUGAUAUUGAGACAAUUUCUGCUUGCUUUCCGCAUCUAACUCAUCUCUCCUUGAGCUAUGAACUAAGAGAGGCAGUAAUUCAGUAUGGAUUGCAGGGUUCUUUUCAAUUGGAAAAUGUGGUUGUAUUGGAGCUUGGUUGGACGGUGAUCAGUGACCUCUUUUCACAGUGGGUAGCCGGGCUAUUGGAAAGAUGCCCUAAUCUAAGGAAGUUAGUGAUUCAUGGGGUUGUUUCAGAAACCAAAACACACGAAGAAUGCCAAACAUUAGCAAAAUUCACAUCCUUUAUUGUAAGGCUAAUGAAGAAGUAUUUGAAGAUAGAUGUUCAGUUUGAAUAUGAAUAGAUUUGAGCAACUGUACCCAGCCUUGGAAUUCACAUUUUUGUUCAAAUGUUAAUAGCUGAAGGAGGUACAUGACGAUCCUUUGUGGUGAUUGUUUCUGUUAUUACGUGGUUACCAUGCUGUGUUCCUGUUUUAGUUUAAGUUGUGCUUCAGCAUUGUUACUUACCCUAUUCUUUCAACUCAAGUUCGCAUAGUGUUCACAGUUGUGGUAUUCUUAUUGUAACUUCUCCUUUUCUUUAUUUUUUCUGCUUGUCUGUUUCAUCUUGUUGUAAUGAAGUUUAGUCUUUUUUUCCAUGUUUUAGCUUUUCUAAUAUAUACUGCUAAAUUCAACUACGUACUCGCUGAAGAAACGAGGAAAAAGACUGUCACCUUAUUAUUGCCAUGUAAAGGGAGUGAAUCCCCCUUCACAAGAAGUAGAAAUUAGCAGAUAUCAUCUCUGUAUGUUAUGUACUGCUUUCCAUAACGCU